UACGAAGGGGGCUAGCGUUGCUCGGAAUCACUGGGCGUAAAGCGCACGUAGGCGGAUUGUUAAGUCAGGGGUGAAAUCCUGGAGCUCAACUCCAGAACUGCCUUUGAUACUGGCGAUCUUGAGUCCGGAAGAGGUGAGUGGAACUCCUAGUGUAGAGGUGGAAUUCGUAGAUAUUAGGAAGAACACCAGUGGCGAAAGGCGGCUCACUGGUCCGGUACUGACGCUGAGGUGCGAAAGCGUGGGGAGCAAACAGG
rnacentral:rRNA from 1 species